UCACUUACCUGGACGGGUUCUAUGAGUGAUCAUGUAGGCUCAUGGCCUAAGUUGUUGACCUCUAAUGCACAUUGCGGAGAGGGAGCUGCCUAAGAUCUCCCAAAAAGAGACAGUCUACGUCAUAAUUUGUGAUAGUAGGGGCCUGCGUUCGCGUGGCUCCUGU